AAGCCAGCUGAGCCUGAUUUUUCUACUCCCCUUCACUAGAGACUUGAAUACUUUAAGUGAGCUUAUACUAGUUUUGACUCAUAUUUUGCAAGCUCAAAUGCAAAUGUACAUUAAGCAUGAUAAUAUCAUGGUUGUAAGCUUACAUUCAAUGUUUUCCACAGGCUUGAUUACAUAUUUUGUUAGGCUUUUCAGGCUGAGCAGACUGUUGACGAAUAGAACAAUUUUUUAAUACAGUUUUUAGGUUGCUAAUUUAAGCUUGAGAGAGAAUUGAGUUUUUCUGCCAGUGCGAGGUUCCAUCAUUUUUCAGCUUGAUGAAACCAAAAUCAUGGAUCAAGUUGUCCAGCAAGAAGCCUAUCUAGAGGGAUCCAAUAUCAAAUAUAGAUGGAACCCAUACGAGUAUUCCCAGCUUCAAAAGCCUUGUUAUUUACCUCAAAUUGUGAAGUGGAAAGUCCUGAAGCUGUCUAUUUAUUUCUUGACCGCCAUAAAUUUUGGCACUGAAACAGACAACUAUUAGAAGCUUAUUACAGUAUAAACCUGAAAUUCUCGGACACAAGUAUGAAGUUGACGUUUGCUUCAUUUACUGUACGUUUAUUUUGUAUUUCAGGGGAACCCUUCCUGCAACAUCAUUUACUCCUCCACAAGCAGCAGUACCCGAGGCUUAAGGAAUCCUGCGUCAACAAUUAAUUAAUCAAUUAUUAUUUGAUGCAACCUUAUAUACACGCAAGAGAAAAAGUACUUGCUGCAGUCGAUGUCAGGUUUAAUGGGAAGAAGAUCAAAGGACAAUCCACAUUUCUUGGGAAGUCCAGCAAUGCGACCAGCAUCAUAUUUUAUGGGUGACAAAACUUUCUUGAAGGCACCCGCACACAGCUUGCCUAUCGGCCUUUAAUUUGAUGGUGCAAGCAAGUUCCUUCAUCCGACUACAAGAAGCGGGUGAAGGUUGGACUGCUUCGUCCUCUACAUAAUCCCGGCAUGACCAUAAUAAAUCAAU
rnacentral:misc_RNA from 1 species